rnacentral:misc_RNA from 1 species
UCACCGCUUGCGCGGGCAGUCUCAUUAGAGUCCCCAGCAUGACCUGUUGGCAACUAAUGAUAGGGGUUGCGCUCGUUACGGGACUUAACCCAACACCUCACGGCACGAGCUGACGACAGCCAUGCAGCACCUAGUUUCGUGCAAUUGCUUGCUGCCAUGUUUCUACGGCAUUCACUAACUUUCAAGCCCAGGUAAGGUUCCUCGCGUAUCAUCGAAUUAAACCACAUGCUCCUCCGCUUGUGCGGGCCCCCGUCAAUUCCUUUGAGUUUCAACCUUGCGGUCGUACUUCCCAGGUGGAUUACUUAAUGCUUUCGCUCAGAGGCGUGCUGUGUAUCGCACACUUCGAGUAAUCAUCGUUUAGGGCGUGGACUAC